CGGGACGUAGCUCAGCCUGGUCAGAGCGUCGCCUUUGGGUGGCGAAGGCCGGUGGUUCGAAUCCACCCGUCCCGA
rnacentral:tRNA from 1 species